UUACAAAAAACGUUGGGAUAGAGACAAUAACGCCAUCCAGCAAUAAACAGUACACUUACGCGCUAGUGAACUCGUUAGACAGUUGUUUUUAAGCGGUCAGCCAAUAAAGUAUUCUUGUAAGAAACGCAACGGAAAUAAAGCGAUCAAAGAUUACAGAUGUACAAGUUCGAUUAAUCACUGUUCCAUCAGUUUUGCCAGCAAAAGAUAAAGAAUUAAGGACUAAAAGGAAAUGGGUAGAAAGGUGGUUAAUUGAGAGAAACAGAUUCUGAGUCCACGUUAUUAAAAGCAUUAGAAACGUAUGAACCGAACGACAAUAGAAAUUAUUUGCAUACGGAUAGCUCUGCUUUUCAACGUCUAUUGGAGACUCUACUGUAAACUACAUUCGGUAUCGGUGCCAUCCUCUACGCGUUGGAACCUGCCUCCCCAUCAGGCCUUGCUCACCAACUAAGACAAGAUACCGAACUACAUACAUUGUAACGUAAUAUCAUGAAACCUAAGCGUCGAUGCCAGACGAUUCCCUCAAUCGAGGGAAUACACGACGUCACGUUACUUCCCACUGCCACUCUACAGUACGUCGUUUGUGCCACAUGACAUGAGUUUCGUCUGGAUCGUUGUCUAUAGUAUGGCUCAUAACGUCACAAGUCCACUAACAGAGGGAACUUUUCCCUUAAUUCUCUCAAUUUGGUAACGCUGGAUGCGUGCAUCGCAACAUGUUUCAACGUAUACAGGCGUUUUAACAUGUAGCCUGCUCCCGCGUACGACAGCGGACAAAAGCAAGUUUAAAUACAAGUGGUACGAAAAAUAUCAUAAUUUCACGGAACGGAAUUGUAUUCGACGAAAGAAACGAAUAAAUAUAUAAGACGCGACUGUCAGCAAACGUAGCGGAAAAUAUCUGACACAAAGGUUCCUAAUACGUGCAUACAUACAGCAACAUAUUUCAACUUUCUUCUGUCCGCUACUAAAAAUAAGGAAGGAAUACCGGCUCAAAAAUUGUCACAUCUCGCACGAAUUGAUCGAUGGGACGAAAGCUACGCGUUUACGAAACUACGCUUUCCACUCUUUAAUAAUUAACUCCUCUGUAAUAUCCAGGAACGAUCGAUGUUUCGAAGGUUAGAAAAAGUUUAGCUGGUACGAGCAAAAAGUUUGCUCGCGAUCGGACAAAGACGAUUUUUGAGACGGAAUCCUCCGUAGUGUGCGCGUAAUAGGUGCUUUGGUACACUCAAGACGAAGAGAGAAUAUAUUAUAUGUAAAUCGAUCGUGGAAUCGAUCGAGCAAAUGUUCGCAAAUACGUAUUUGGUAACAGAAGUAUCUUUGGUCGAUUCGUUUGGCGAACGUAUGCACACCGUCGGUUAUUUUAAACCGCGGAAAGAAUCGUGCGACGACGCAUCAUCGGUGGACAUCCGGAAGGCGGCAGGAGGACGUCAAAAUGUACGGCCGCGUUCUCGUCGAAGGGUAAAAAGUAUCGUGGAUCGUACUUUGUCUCGUACGCAACGUCAUCGAUACGUAUAGUAAUAAGUUUCGUUUAGUAAUGACGAUAAGAACGAUAAUGGCGAUCGUACAAAAAAUAACGAUGUCGAUCAAUGGUAAUAAAUAGUAAGUACAACUUACGAAUAGACAUCGGUGUGUUGUGUGUUCCCAGGUUUUAAAUAUUUCAUAAAUCGUCGCGCCCCCAACCCCCCCUUCUCCCCGUGCUUUCAACCUCGCACUCGAUUUGCGCACAGCUCUCGUUUCUUUUAUCUUCUACUUUGUUUUCUUUAUUUUUUUUAUUUUUUUUUUUUCAUUAGCGUUAAAAUUUAAAAAAAUACAUAUAUAUCCUCAACCGAGUUAACCGCGUUAACCAUAACCGCGUAGAUCGCGGUCUCCUAACUAUUUUUACUUCGCUUCGCUCCUCCCUCCUUAUUUUUUCGUAUUUUCUUUUUUUUUCUCUUUUUUGUGUAACUUAUCAAACAACGCAUCCCGUCUGUGCACAUCACCCUAGUCAAAUUUAACUUGCACGAUAAACGUC